AUUAAACAGUAAUCUAAAAAAUAUAAAAUGUGCACAGUGAGCGGCGCUUCAUCUCUUCUUUUCUUCUUCCCGCCACCAGAACUGACCCAAAAAUAGGGUAUCACUGUUCAAACACGUAAAAAUUGGGGGAUUUGCGAUGGGUUUUGGAGCAUUUCGUUUUACCGUUGGAGAUGCCCUCACCGCCGACUCAGCCUGACGCCUCAUCCCCGCGGCCUCGCCUCUGCAGUCAGCUCCUCGCCUUCUGCCCACCAACUGCUUGAUAGAUUGCUCCAAUUGAUAGAUUCCCGUUUCCUUUCUUUCUCACUCAUCCCUCUCUCUUUCAUUAUUAUUGUCACCAUCCCUUCUCCCCAUUUCCCCUAAAUUCACCUAAGCAAUCCCAAUACCCCAUUCUUCCCUAUCAAGAUUGGAUUUUUUUCUCAAUCCGAGCUGAUUUUUGGAAAAUGCUAGGAGUAGGAUGAGGAGGAAAUAAUGGGAAUCCAAUGUUUCCUGGUUAUGUGGAGGAAAAUCGUGCCCAAUGCAAUAACAAUACAUUGCAUCAACUGCAGCUUUUUGCAAAUGGCGAGUGUUUUUUUGUCCUUGGGUGGAUUGUGAUCAGUGUUGUUAAAAUCGCCUGACUCCCGGUUUAGGGAGGAUUGUUGAAGGUUGAAGGGCUUGGGCAGAAAAUUUUGAGAUGCAGAAAGAACCAGAGAAGGGAACGAAAAAAAUAUAGAAAGAAGAAUAGAGAAGAAGAAGAUUGUGGCGCAGUGGAAGAUAAAAUUAGGUUUAAAAUUCAAUUAGUAGUAUGAUAUAUUGAUGGGCUGGGCUAAUCAUAUACUCCCUACGUCCCGGACUACUUGCACUUAUUUCCUUUCUGGGCGUCCCAAGUUAUUUGCACUCUUUCCAUUUUUAGUAAAAAUUAUCACCUACAGCCGCAAUUGUUGACUUUGCUAUACACUCAUACCUUAAUCUCUGUGCCGAAAAGGAAAUGUGCGAGUAGUCCGCGACGGAGGAAGUACUAUGUAUUUGUUUUUUUUACAAGUCAUGAUCCAAUAAGA